UACGUAGGGUGCAAGCGUUGUCCGGAAUUACUGGGCGUAAAGAGCUCGUAGGUGGUUUGUCGCGUUGUCCGUGAAAACUCACAACUCAAUUGUGGGCGUGCGGGCGAUACGGGCAGACUGGAGUACUGCAGGGGAGACUGGAAUUCCUGGUGUAGCGGUGGAAUGCGCAGAUAUCAGGAGGAACACCGGUGGCGAAGGCGGGUCUCUGGGCCGAUACUGACGCUGAGGAGCGAAAGCGUGGGGAGCGAACAGG
rnacentral:rRNA from 1 species